GACAUAACCAUCUACGAAUUGCACAUUUGUGAUUUUAGGUAAAUUGUGCUGCUUGAUUUACACAACUAAAAAUCUGGCGGGGUUUAUGCAUAUUCAUCUUUGGAACUUACCUGUCUGUUUCCUGUGCUUUUCAAUUACAGUGCCCAUGAUGGCACAAUGGACAUUGACUCUCGUGGAGGAUUUCGUGCAUUUGCAUACUAGGCCUCAGCAGGAAUGUUUGACUCAUGUACAUUUGUUGCCAAGCUUUCAUUUUGCUGGCGUUGACGACAUUAAGAGCAACUGGAAAUUUUUCGGUAAGGAAAUAUUUCUCUUUAUAAAAGAUGAGUGUGAACUAGCAACAUUCCCUCCAGGAUCAGAUAUGCAACAAGCAGCGGUAGUAGCUAUUCAGGAAGAGGACCCUUAUAAUUGGGGGUAUUCAUUUCACACUUCUUUUUCCCUCAAACAUUCCAGAUACUAAUGUAUCAUGGUGGUGUUAAAUAUCGGAAAGUUAAUUAUGUUCUUGCGAGUAAAAUAUUCUUACAUAUGGUCAUACUUAUGCUAAAGGUAUGACUCUGUGCUUUGGAAGGUUCCAAAAGGAAGCUAUGCAAGUGAUUUCAUCAGGAAAGAGAUGCAGACGAAAGGAAGAGAGACUCCCCCAAGCUCUGUCUAGGCGAUGCACGGGCGACGGCCACCCUUCUUGUUAUUGCCUCCAUGGCUGACUGCUCAUC